GACGAACGCUGGCGGCGUGCUUAACACAUGCAAGUCGAACGGAAAGGCCCUGCUUUUGUGGGGUGCUCGAGUGGCGAACGGGUGAGUAACACGUGAGUAACCUGCCCUUGACUUUGGGAUAACUUCAGGAAACUGGGGCUAAUACCGGAUAGGAGCUCCUGCUGCAUGGUGGGGGUUGGAAAGUUUCGGCGGUUGGGGAUGGACUCGCGGCUUAUCAGCUUGUUGGUGGGGUAGUGGCUUACCAAGGCUUUGACGGGUAGCCGGCCUGAGAGGGUGACCGGGCACAUUGGGACGGAGAUACGGCCCAGACUCCUACGGGAGGCAGCAGUGGGGAAGAUUGCACAAUGGGCGGAAGCCUGAUGCAGCAACGCCGCGUGCGGGAUGACGGCCUUCGGGUUGUAAACCGCUUUCGCCUGUGACGAAGCGUGAGUGACGGUAAUGGGGAAAGAAGCACCGGCUAACUACGU
rnacentral:rRNA from 1 species